ACCCGCACAAGCAGAGGAGCGCGUGGUUUAAUUCGACGGCAAUCGAAGAACCUUACCAGGGUUUGAAAUGUAUCUGCAUGCCCUAUGAAAAUAGGGAGGCCUUCGAGGGUGAUACACAGGUGCUGCAUGGCCGCCGUCAGCUCGUGUCGUGAGAUGUAGGGUUAAGUCCCGAAACGAGCGCAACCCCUAUUCUAUGUUACAAGUGUCUUAGAAAACCGCCUCGGUAAAACGAGGAGGAAGGUGGGGAUGACGUCUGGUCCGCAUAGCCCUUAUGUCCUGGGCUACACACGCGCUACAAUGGCCGAUACAGUAGGAAGCCAAAUCGUAAGAUGGAGCUAAUCCUUAAAGUCGGUCUCAGUUCGGAUUGAGGUCUGAAAUUCGACCUCAUGAAGUUGGAUUUGCUAGUAAUCGUAGAUCAGCAAUGCUACGGUGAAUACGUUCUCGGGUCUU
rnacentral:rRNA from 1 species